rnacentral:lncRNA from 1 species
GAGCAGCCCUAAAGCUCCGUGCCUCUGGCUGCUCCCCACUCCUGCCGCACACCGCUGGAGCCAGCCUGGGCAGUGGACAGCAGCGGUCACUGCGACAUCCUGUAAUAACACUUCAAAAAACAAACAAAAAACCAAUUGUUCAGCUUUCAUUACUUCAUAAAUAAAAAUUAAUUUAUAUUUAAUGUCCGGUGGCAGCAUGAAUUGCUGUUAAUUCGUUUCACAGCGUUUGAGUCCUAGACAAAAACUAGGCUGCUCCCCUCUCCUGUCUGACAUUUUCCUUUUAAACAUGAAAUGUUUUUCCUUUCAUAUCUUGCAUAAGAUAAUUGUUUGUGCAUUAAAUGGCUUAGAUAUAUGUAAAUAGGUGAUAGAGUAGUUAUUUUUGGUGGGCUUAAAGAGAUUUUUAUCUGCAUCUAUGAAUGUUGAUUACUAUUGCUUUUACUUACAUUAAUUAAGGGAUGCAAUCACAGAAAUAUUUUGUUUUCAUUGAAAUGGACUGAGCUGACAAAUAGCUACAAAGCUGAAACUUAAUUGUGCAGAUUCCUGUAAGUUCUGUAGGUUGAUUUGUUUUUCCUUACAUAAAAACUUUGAGAAAAAUUUCCUCUGUUUUUUCAGUUACAGGUCUUCAAAGUUACUCUCAAAUUUGGUUUUAGGCACCUUCAAUUAAGCUUGCUAACAUUAAUUUUAACAGUGUUAAGGCAUGCUUGAGAAAUAGAUGGGCUUUGGUUUGUAACAUUAUGUACUUGAUGCUGAAAGAAAUAACAUCCUUCUGUAACGAUGCAUAAUCAGGCAGGUUUUUAGCUCUGGAACUACAAAGAUUUGAAUUCAGAAAGCAGAUACACAGGACUGUUUGCUUACUGUCUUGGUCAAAACCCAGUUUCAGUUUGCAAGCAUGUCCACAUCUGCAAAAACGUGUACUGAACCAAAUGUGGAAGACUGAAGCACUUCAUGAGAGCAAUUUCUCAUUAGAACAGGACAUACUGGAUUUUUUUUCUUCUUUGCCAUCUUAAAAGCUGCACUUGCAGGGAUAGGACAUGUACCUAACAGAAGCGGCUUGUACAUGAGGUUGCUUAAGGGAUUAUCACCCUGUUCAAAUUUCUGAAGGUAAGAUAUUGUUUAUUUUACUUACUAAAAUGUACAACACUGAAUUUCCAUAGCUUUGGCUCUUGGAAGUUGAUUAAAUAAAAUGUUGUAUAUAUUCCAAGUGGCAUCCUACUAGAAAGAAUGAAUGACAUUAAUGGACAAGUUUAAAACAAAUUUUAAAAGGAAACCAUUGUGCUGAGUGGCAGGAAAAUUUUCCUGAAUGUUAAAUACUGUUGAGUGCAGAAGGUGUCUGUAAAAUUACUUCCGCUUAAAGGAAAAGA